GUUUAGUGUAGUGCAAUAACAUAUCUGCAGGGUGGAAAGCUACUCACUUGUCUGUGACCUGGGUGUUCAUGCCAUACACCUGCCUCCAAAAUGAUUCUACUAUUAAGCAUUCCCUAAAUAUGUGCAGCAUGGAACCAACCGCAUACCAGCACCUCCAGCAUAAGAGGGGCGGCUCUGGAAAGGCCUGUGCACCCUCUGAGGUGUGUUGUACCAGUUUGUUAGAAUCUUAUAAUGGAACCAUGAUGUGACAGAAUAUGUAAUUUGGACUAUUGUUGUUCGGUAAAUGCCGUGUUCAGGGCCUCUUCCUCAUAGGAAUGAAGCCUGGGUGGAGCUAUGUCAAUCAUAAGUAGUAUCAGUUGAUAAAGUGUGUAAAUACCCUUAGCUAGAGGCUCCCUCCAGGAACAGAUUUCCUCAAAGAGGGUAAUAUUCCUACGCAGCAAUUGUCUUGGAGUUACUGAUGGGUAAAAAUGAAAAAGUUGGUGAUAUUUAAAUCUCUCCAUCAGGCCAAGUUGUUUAUCCAUCACCAAGUUUGACAAGGGUCGGAACUUACCAUCAGGGUAAUGUUGUGUACAAAUAGAGUCGAGACCUCCUUAGGAAGUCAUAUGCAUGCUGUUCCAUUCCCACUGAGAAUGCAAGAUUGUUAGUGAUUGGGUACAUCGGACCAGACAGCGUAGAUAGGGAUUUUUGCCUGUACGCUAAAUGCCAGAUCUACAAUGUAGCUCCAAAAUAAUGGUACAAGUUCAGGAUCCCUCCAUCAUCCGGUCACACUGCUUCUGGUAUUCUGCUUUAUGCCAUACUAAUGCCUAGCGUGUUCCAUAGUUUAGGGGAGGUGUGGAUAUGCCAGUCAGCCAAUCAAAUGUGUGUCUUAGUUAGAUGUUAGUGGGACUUGACCCCUAGAUUUCUUAGUUGGUUACUUUGUCAUUUAAAAAGGUACUUCACAUGUAAAGAGACAGAAAGGAGAAACAAUGGUGCAGUAUGUUUGUAGUAUAUGGGGGACAACCCCAUUCGUCUGUAUAUCUUAGUUCCUCAGUAGAAAUCUCAAUGGAGUCUUAUGCACCACUGAGUAGUAUGUAAAUUCCCGGCCCCCCUAGAAUCAAUUUCUCCUCUUGAAAUGUACUGCCUGAUGAAAUGUACUGCCUGAUGAAGGCGUGCUGUUUAAAAUUUGGUGCAUAAACCGUGGAAAAAGUCUGGGAAUUAAUACUGCACUUCAAGAAUAAAUACGUUCAUCUGAGUCUGCCCUCAGAUCAAGUAGCUGAAAAGGUACCAGCGAGAUAACCAUAUUGCGACUCCAGACCAUUGGAUAUCUGUGAUCCCUCAACACAGGAGAGUUAUUCUCUCUGAAAUGCGUCUCCUGCAACAUCACGGUGGACGCCCAGUCUGUCCACAUUACCCUUAGGAGCCGCGUGCACUUUUCUGAUAGGUUUGGACCUCUUGCAUUUAUCAACCAAACCUGUACAUUGGCCUUGACCCAAAUUUGCACCAUACAGAAUGCGAUAUUAAAAAGUAUUGUAGGGGAGGUUGGAAAGGAAAAGCAGCUUGAAUCAUGGGUGUAUGGGUAGAGAGAAAAUGUGUAGUGAUAAACUAAUAUUCUAAACACAGCAGCCUAGGAGAGUCCUGCCCCUAUCUGGAAAAUAGUAUACAAAGGGGAGCAGGGCCCAUCAGGAAGUAUAAAGGAUGCACCAAUGCCUUCUAGGAAAAUGUCUGUUAGCCGACUUCAACAGUGAAGUACAACAUGUUAUGUAUGUAAUUAGAACUUGUAUAGUAUCGAGCGCAUGAAAAAAUGUGUGGGAAAUCCCCCUUAAUAUUCCUUAAUUGAAGUCCCAUAGCCCUUCAGAUAUAUGUUAUCUGGGGGCCUCCCAUGUCUUCGGUGGUAAAACUAGGUGGGUAUCUCUAUUUAGCUAAUUAUCAUCCAUUAGAGUGACUAAGAGAGCUAACCUGGCAGUUGAUUGCCUAAAUUAGGGUGGGAGGGGCUAAGCUUACUACAGGAGGCAAAAUGUCCUCGUGUGUGUCCUCAUGAGCAGCAUCAUCACCUUAGCUGCAACCUGCCUACCGCAUCCUGGGGUCCAGUUAGGAUGUUCUCUCUUGUGUCCAGUGUAAAAUUGGUCUUCUCCCUGGGAUCCAGGGGGGGAUGAAUCUUCUCCCUGGGGUCCAGUGGCUCCUUUGCUCUUCCAGUUCCUCACAGCUCCCUCGCAGAGUGUUUAGUUAUGCGAGGGCUGCAGUGAUGUCAUAUUCUAGCUCGGGAGCUUUGAGGAACUGGAAGAAUAUCAGUGCUCCCUUGCUGCCUGACUUCUGGCUCCUGUCCCUACUCUCCCAUUCAGCAGAGUAAACACUUGCUGUCAGGGGGAGGCAUGGGGCCUACUCCACCUUAAUGAAUAAGAGCCCGCUUUGUGGUCACCCCAAAGACCUGUGACAGGCGAUUGGCCUGCUCCUCACCACCACCUACCUCAUGAUUUUUCCAGCCCUCCCUUACCCUCGUUAGUUAUGCUACUGUAUGGCCCUACAGUUUAGAAGUGUAAUUAUGUUAUAUUUACUGGACUCUGUUCUUAUGUUGUGGCAAGCAUAUUCCAAUCUUGGAACUUAGGAUGCAUUGGCAUUUUCUUACCUCAUGCCACUGAGUUUAAAGAUUGCACUGGUGAUAUCAGAGGAAGCAUUAUUCUAAGAUAUCUAUGUGAUAAGAAAGAGAGACAUUUGUUAGGAAGGUCCUCAGAGUUAGUGAUAUUAUAGAUAUAAAAAGGGGUUAAAAUAAAAAAGCUAAUGUGAAGCAGGAAGGUGAAAGAAUAGAAAGCAGAAACAUUACAAAGGAUGUAAAAAGACAUGAAUAUAUAAUGCAACAAUGAUCACGUCGGCUGAUUAUGGUAGGGGGAUACAAAGGGUUACUUAAGUAAAGGGGGAAUGAGAAAACAUGGUUGGAGAAGAUAAGAUACAAUGGAUUAAUCUAAUAAUGAUGGAGUGAGAUGAUAUGGUUGGAACGAUAUGAAGAAUUAAUGUAAUAAUAUGAGGUGUUAUGGGAGGGGAGAUACAAAGAAUUUAUCUAAUAAUGGGGAUUCAUAUGAUAAGAUGGGACAAUACAAAGGAAUAAUCUAACAAUGGUGAUGUUAAAUAGUAUUGUGAAAAGGGAAAGUAAAGAUACUAUGGAAACUAGGUAAAAUAAUAUAUGCAGAAAUAAAAGUGUAAAUAUAUAUUUUUAACAGCAGUUAAAUUGGUGAGAUAAUAUGGACGAGGAGAUAAAAACUGGUAAUAUAAUAUUAAAGUAAAUAAACCAGAAAGAAGUGACAUGAGGGAAGAAGUGAGAUGUUUGAGAAAAAAUGAAGUGUCAAAAAUCAGACCUUUUGAAAAGCAGUAGCAACAUACGGGAGAGGAAAUUUUCUGUUAAACUGUUUUACAGCGUUUAAAAAAAAAAAAAAAAAACCUGGGUUCACCAGUAUCCCAAACCCAUCUCCAAGGCAGCCAAAGAGAAAUCCUUACUUUGGCUUUAUGCAUCCAAAUCUGUUUGACCUUUGAAUGAUGGAAAAAAAUGCAAACGCGACCAGGAAAACUGGUCUGAUAAAGUGUAGAAUAGGGGUGUCCAAAGCGUAUAUCCCCAGAUAUUGUAGAACUACAACUCCCAUGAUGCUUUAAAUGCUUUAGAAUGCCUUUAGAAUGACAAAGCAUCAUUGACGCGGUAGUUUUAAUACAUCUGGGGAUCUACAUUUUGGGUACCCCUGUUCUACACUGUAUCAGACCAGUUUCCCUUUAACUUCACAGUGUAGUAAAACUUAGCUUUAAAUAAGAUUGUUUGUUUUCUCCCAAAAAUAUGAAACUUGUUGGGGUGUAGUGCAUGGGCUGUAAAUAAUCACCCAUAACAUCCCUUUAAUCAGAUAUAAAUUUGAUGAGCUUUUACAGAUUUUAUUUAAAGGAGUUCUAUAGUGUUCGGAAUAAAAUAUGUAUUCCUAACGCUAUAGUGCUCUAGUCACUAUUUUAAAUAGUGCUCUAGUCACUAUUUAGAGCACUAUCUAGUCAGCCUUCACAGCACCAGUCUCCUCCAUGUAGCUCCUCCUCUUUAUUGGCUGAGAUCAUCAAUGUUGAUGAUCAUAGCCAAUCCAAUGCUUUCCCAUAGGAAAGCACUGGGAGGCUAAUGUGCGUGUACUGCAAAACGCCAUGCUGCACCAAUCAGAUGGUCUCCUGAGACCAUCUGACAAAAAUAGCAGAGUUUUACAGAAGCAACGUUAGACUAGAGGCAUGUAAACAUUGUUAUUAAUGAAGAACAAUGUUUUCAACUGCAGAGUUAAAAGGGGGUACAUCGCUUCCAGACCGCUUCCUUAAGAUAAAGUGGUCGUAGUGCCUAUAAUGUUCCUUUAAAUUCUACCUUGCUUCAAGGUCGAAGUCUUUUCUUAUAUGCCUGCACUGCUGAAUUCACAAAAAUCCAAAAUAGGCCACAGCCAGUCUGAAAGUUAUCCAGGUGCAUUUUAAAUAAUCAUGUUUGAGUUCAGUUAUUACUUGUAAAGUAAGUUACAUAAAGGAUUAUUCACUAAAGUGAGACUUUCUAGGAAUUCUAAGUGAAUUUCAAAUUUUCCCAUUUUUUCACUUUGCCUUUUUUUGACCUGAUAUUUGAAAUUCACUUUGGAUUCCUGACAGUUCUCACCUUAGUGAUAAUGAUUUACCAGGUUAUUAACUAAAGUAAGAAUUCAAAGUGAAUUCAAGGUGAAUUUCAAAUUUAAGACCAGAGUAGCUGAUCGGAAAGUAUAGCCAAUUUAGAGAAUUUUUCCGUUUUAGCUCUUGUGACCUUAACUUUGAAAUUCACUUUCAAUUCUACUUUAAGUAAAUAACCCUGUUAGUUUCAAAUGAAGACACAAUUAAACUGACAUUUUAAUGAAUUUAAGAAUAGCUCUUUUUCUUCAAAAAGAUAGAGAUGAUUAUUUAUCAAACUAUUUAGGCAUUAUUUGAGUUCGGUAAAAUAUUGUGGAUUGAUGAUUUUUUUUUUUUAUUUGUCUUCAUAUUACAUCUUGCCCAACAGUCUGACAUGAGUGGGACUAUUUAAAUAUAACCUAAUAAUCUUGUUAUCAUGAACGCAUUCAUAAUUGCUUCUGAAAUAAAUGGCCGAGUCCCUUCACGCAGCUUGUAUAGAGAUAAGUGUGCUAAGACAUGCGGCGAUUUUAUCGUCCUCCAAAUGCUCUUGCCCUCAAGGAAGUAAGCCGUUCUGCCCUACUUCUUCAACAGUGUAAUAUCUGACAACAGAACUAAUGUAACCCUUUAAGGAUUAACGGGAUGCAAGGCUUACCAUGAUAUGAAGGAGUAUGCCUUGCUCCUUGCCAUUAAGGGGUUAAUGAAGAAAAGCAAACCAUAAAAAAAAUUAACCCGAGCUGUUCUUUUUUUCAUCUGAUCAAAAAGACUCACAAACAAUGGUAACACAAUUUCAGGAAGUAGAAUUUAACAUAACAGAUUUUGCAACAAAUUAAUGCCACCCCCAAUCCGUUAUUGCGUGAGUGGGUGUUAAAAUUAACAUUAAUGAAUAUAAAUACAAAUUAAUAAUACAUACUUGCUACCAAAGUGGGUGGGAUGAUACAUUUCUAUUUUAUAAUAAAAAAAAAUGCUUAAGUAUGUAUUAAUAUUGUAUAUGAUCUCUCUGAGUUUUAGGCAGUUUAUCAUCAGACAUAAUAAAUAUGCAUGCAGUAAACUAAAGAUCAUAACUGUAGGACCUGCAGUUGAUUAAUAAUUACUGCUGGUAAAUUAUAUGACUCCCAUGCAGAGCAGUAUGAUCUUAAAAUAAAUUAAUGUAUCAAUUUGUAUGUGUUAAUACAUUAACCUCCUAAGGAACAAUGAGGAUCCAUGCUGUCAGAACAAUAUGGUCCUUAAAUUAGCAAUGUCACAUCCAUGUGGAGUUUUUGUAUUUUUAGCAAAGGCCUCCCAAUGGGACAUGUCCACUUGCAUGACAGCACUCUAGGGGAGAGAGGGCUAAAGGAGAUAUACUUAUUCGGUACUCCUUGGCAAAGGCCCCUACCAGUUUAGUUCUCUAUUUAGCUCCUGGCAGCAUCAUCUGUCAGAAGUUAUGUUACUGGUGUACUCUUGAAUAAUUAGGAUGAGUUCCAAGAAGAAUCCCACUGCACCCUAGAUGUCUGUACCCAUCUGUCAUUGUGAAUGAAGGCUGCUGCUAUAAAAUAUCAAGAUACGGGUGGUAUGCCACAUUUUCUUAUAAACUAUCAUCUGGUUCACAAGACAAUAUAGUCCUACAAUGUUGGUCCAAAAUAUCUGUGCGAUUAGUGUUACCAUAAGACAUAUCUGAAGAUUCAAGUGAUUAUCAUUUAUAACAAUAUGUGAAGCUAUGGCAAAUCAAUUCUACAAGACAGGCAAUAAUAAUACAAUCUUGUUUUUGUCGUUUUCAUUAAACCAUGAUAACAUAAUGUUAUAGUAAGAACCCAAUCAAACCACUAAAUGGGUUGAAGUAACUGCAGUUUUAAUCCCCUCAUUACAACGAUGCUCUGAACAUUCUUCUAGCCUCUUAAUUCAAGUACUUCAAUAUCUGUUCUUCAGUUUUUUUUUUAUAAAGUGGGAGGUGUUCCAAAAUCGAUACACAGAAUGGCAGAAAAAAAUGCAGUAGGAUUGUGGGGUAUAAAUAUAGUAAUGAGUAAUAUAUAUUUUUCUUAAUUUAAAGGUGUUGCUCUGGUGUUUGCAUUGCUUCUGUAAGAUGAAGCUUUGGAUGGGUUGAGUUUAAAGAUAUGGCUUGAUAUUUCCUGAGUGGUUUGUUUCCUUAUGUUGUAUAUUAUGGGCUGUGGAGCAUAGGAUGUGUCAGGAGUGACUAUUAAAGAAUUGGCUGGGUUUAUGUUUCAUGUUUAUUUGUAUUAAAUAUGUAGGUUAACUUUACUGAACACGUUUACUGAAGAGGACUGAAGAUGGACAUGCAAAUUACUUUUUCCAGAACAGGAAUUAUACCAGGACUUUUAGGUUUUAAUUUGGCUGGAUCCAAAGAUAUAUCGAUACUUCAUUCACAUGUCAAGAUUUAGACAAACAGUCAGGACAUUAAAACAUAGCUAAUGUUUUCCUCAGAUUAUUAAACGGCCAUUUAUUUUAUAGAAACCUUCCCGAAAAUAUUUGUUGCUUCUCACCACAACCUUACUGAGCUAAAUAUAGAUUAUAGAACAUGCCUUCAUAUCGUCUAUAAUUUUCUUUUUGUGGCUCAUACUAACAUGAAUGAAACGGAGUAGAAUCAAAUAUAAAGAAUGAGCAGCGAUACUGGCAGGUGUUGUUUACCACGAAGAGAAAACACCCGUAAACAUGAAGAUAUUUUGAAUAUUCUUGGCACCAUUACAAAAGAAUAAACAAAUAGCUCAAGGUGAACCAAGGAGUGAUAUAAUUUUAAAAAUGUUCAGAAUUAAAAGGCUUAUUUUAAAUGUGCUCCAGGUGGAUAAUUUGACCAAACACACCUUCCAGAGAAGACAAAACACCAUAGUCUGUAAUGUAAAAUAAUAAUGUUGACCAGAUAGAUGAUACAAAUAUUUCUGAAGAAAGCUGGGAUGCAGAUACUCAUGAGGAAGAUUGCACGCUAUUAAAGUGGCCUUUAAGACAAUCAGUUACUAACAGACUUUGAUGGCAGUAGAGCAGAAGUAAUCAUUUAUCACCUCAAAAAAAAGACUUAUUUUCUUCUUUGAGGUGUGUGAAGAAAAGGCCCCUAUCACCUCCUUCUUCACAUUGCAGGAAUAGCUAUAUAAAGACUGACACUUGAGAAUGGCUCUUCACAGGAGGAACAUGACUUUAUUUCAUUUUCUGAGUUCACAUCAACCGGAAAUAGAGUCUUCAAUGUGAAUAAAAUAAUGAACUCCUUGUAGAGCAACUAGAAUGGGAAUUAAAAGUGUCUGAGAAUUGAGAAAAGUUUGACUUUAGUAAUAUAACAGUGUGAGGAGGAUAGAGAGAAUGCAGAUGUCGAAUGAGUUCUGACAAAAAAAUCAGACAGGGUUACUCAGUAAAGUGUGUAUGUCACAGGAUCUUAAAGAUAAUUUCUCAUUUUAGGUCAAAAUAGCUGAACCAAAAACAUAAUGGACAUGGAGAAUAUUUCCAGUUGAGCUAUUUUCACCUUAAACUUUGAAUGUGCUUGAGAAUUCACACUUUAGUGAAUAACUCUGAGAUCAUCUCUGCUAGAUAAUGGGGCAUACUUCUUGAACUCAGUGUAGAGGUAUUCACCCGCUGGCAACUCUUCCCUACAAAUUAAAACAUAAGGUUCAUGUAGCUAUAGGACUUAUUGAUGAUUUACUUUAGUUCUUGGCGAUCACCAAGAUGGUAGGAGAACUCAGAAAGGAGUGAGGUCCGGAAGCUAGCCAAGUUUAGGAUGACAAAAAUAAAGAUUUCUGGUUGCUCAUUUUGUGCAAAACCCAGCAAAAUGGUCAUAAAGGAGGUGGAGAACAUAAUGGUGUACUUCUCUCCAAAAUAUUAAACAAUGCUUAUGAGUAAGCACUUUAUGAGUCAUGAAGCAUGUUAAGCCCUAUGGCUGCUUCCUUGCUGACAUAAUCUCACCCAUGUGUACUCCCACAUUAUUACAGGUUCAAAUAAAUAUUGUCUUAUUGCCCAAAUAAGAUAUCCCUUUGACCUUUAAGCAAUUAUUUCCUCUUUAACCUCCAAUUCCUCAAGAAAAGACCAUCUUCUUUGAAUCCAAACCUUAACAACAUAACAAUAACUUAUUCACUAAGAUGCAGCAUGAUAUUACAGACCUAUACCAAAAUAUAUAAUACUAAAAACUGGUGGAUCUUUUGAGACCUUGAGGACCUAGAUCAGUGGGAGACUAAAAUAAACAUUUUUAUGGCAUUGUGCUACUAGUCCAGUGUAUAUUCAUACUCCUUUACUACAACAUAUUUUGAAUGUUUUGAUACCUUACUUACCUUACUAGCUUUGCAGCAUUCCAUUGCAGAGACACGUGAUCAAUAUUUUCUGGGGUAAAUGGGCUGGGUGUUUCUCUUAUUUAUUGGUUUCUUUUGUUUUACAUGGUGGCGGUUAUGGCUACUAUAUUAAAUGACAAUCAGGAGUGUGCAUAAACUCCAGUGUGCUACUUUGCAUUACAAAUUCGGUAAGGCAAAUGGCUACAAGUUUACCUUUUUUUUCCAUCGGAAAAUGUGAAGUGCUCUUAUAUUACAGCGGAAUAAACAGAACUAAUUGCUUGUUGUUAUUUUUGGGGGGUUGGUGUUGAGGUUUCCUGUGCUUAAUUUGGUUCUUAAAAUCCGAAGAUUAUGGUUAAUCAUUUUUUUUAAAACCAUGACUAUAAUGACAAUGCAUGCUGAUUUGUUUAGAAAGAGAAGAAAAAAUAUACUUUUGCUGAUAAUUCAGUUCUGAGCACAAUAGAUUCAUUCAAUGCUUGUACACGAAGGGGUGUUAGCAAGCAUAGCUUGGCGGCACUAAGUGGUGUAACAUAAAAGUAUUAGUGUAUUGCAUGGUUGCUUAAAUUCACAAAUCUCUUUGUGUCUCCCACGAGGUGACAUCCAUUUGGCAACCUGGCCAUCCCUCCAUGCCUCUUCCUGAUAUGCCUUAACCCCAGUGACUGAACGGUACCAGCUGGAGAGCUGUCGCACCUCGUGAUGUCCCUGUGGAUUAAGAACUUGGUCUCUCCUCCUUCUUAUUUUGCUGUUCUGGUUAUAAUGUGACCUUUCUAACAUGUGCCAUAGGGUUUUUAUAUUUAAUGUGAUAUGGUGAAAUGAUGUGCUCUUGUCUUUUUUUUUUCUUAUCAUGUUUGUUUUGGGUAAUAGUUGUAGAACUGAAAUGUUUGUUAAGAAAAAUAAAUUAAAAAAAAGAUUAAAAAA